UAAGAGGUUAAACUCAGAUCAUAUUUAUUAUCUCUGUCUUAUACAAUGGGAAAAAUAUGUGUGAGAACUAUUGAUCAAUCAUGGGAGGGCCAGC